CUACGGGAGGCACCAGUGAGGAAUAUUGCACAAUGGGGGAAACCCUGAUGCAGCAACGCCGCGUGGAGGAUGACGCAUUUCGGUGUGUAAACUCCUUUUAUAUGUCAAGAAAAUGACGGUAGCAUAUGAAUAAGCACCGGCUAACUCCGUGCCAGCAGCCGCGGUAAUACGGAGGGUGCAAGCGUUACUCGGAAUCACUGGGCGUAAAGGACGCGUAGGCUGGUUGGUAAGUCAGGUGUGAAAUCCUACAGCUUAACUGUAGAACUGCACUUGAAACUACCAACCUAGAGUAUGGGAGGGGGAGAUGGAAUUAGUGGUGUAGGGGUAAAAUCCGUAGAUAUCACUAGGAAUACCGAAAGCGAAGGCGAUCUCCUGGAACAUAACUGACGCUAAGGCGUGAAAGCGUGGGGAGCAAACAGGAUUAGAUACCCCGGUAGUC
rnacentral:rRNA from 1 species